rnacentral:rRNA from 1 species
AAAGGAAUAGACGGGGGCCCGCACAAGCAGUGGAGUAUGUGGUUUAAUUCGAAGCAACGCGAAGAACCUUACCAGGGCUUGACAUAUACAGGAAUAAUGUAGAGAUAUAUUAGUUCUUCGGAACCUGUAUACAGGUGGUGCAUGGUUGUCGUCAGCUCGUGUCGUGAGAUGUUGGGUUAAGUCCCGCAACGAGCGCAACCCCUGUGGUUAGUUGCCAACACGUAAUGGUGGGAACUCUAGCCAGACUGCCGGUGAUAAAUCGGAGGAAGGUGGGGACGACGUCAAAUCAUCAUGCCCUUUAUGUCCUGGGCUACACACGUACUACAAUGGUCGUAACAGAGGGAAGCAAGAUAGUGAUAUGGAGCAAAACCCUAAAAGCGACCUCAGUUCGGAUUGAAGGCUGAAAUUCGCCUUCAUGAAGCUGGAAUUGCUAGUAAUGGCAGGUCAGCAUACUGCCGUGAAUACGUUCCCGGGCCUUGUACACACCGCCCGU